UACGUAGGUGGCAAGCGUUGUCCGGAAUUAUUGGGCGUAAAGCGCGCGCAGGCGGCCUCUUAAGUCUGAUGUGAAAGCCCCCGGCUCAACCGGGGAGGGCCAUUGGAAACUGGGAGGCUUGAGUAUAGGAGAGAAGAGUGGAAUUCCAACGUGUAGCGGUGAAAUGCGUAGAGAUGUGGAGGAACACCAGUGGCGAAGGCGACUCUUUGGCCUAUAACUGACGCUGAGGCGCGAAAGCGUGGGAGCAAACAGG
rnacentral:rRNA from 1 species